rnacentral:rRNA from 1 species
UACGGAGGGUGCGAGCGUUGUCCGGAAUCACUGGGCGUAAAGCGUGCGCAGGCGGUUUUGUAAGUCUGACGUGAAAGCCCCGGGCUUAACCUGGGAAUUGCGUUGGAGACUGCAAGGCUUGAAUCUGGCAGAGGGGGGUAGAAUUCCACGUGUAGCAGUGAAAUGCGUAGAGAUGUGGAGGAACACCGAUGGCGAAGGCAGCCCCCUGGGUCAAGAUUGACGCUCAUGCACGAAAGCGUGGGGAGCAAACAGG